rnacentral:misc_RNA from 1 species
GGCUGCAUCAGCUGUGCGAUCACGGGUCAAAGCAAUGGCUGGGAUUGGUGAUAGGGACCUCGAGAGGUGGCUUACGCCGUAUGUUAUGCACGAAACUUUGCGUCCGAGAGCUAUUGCAAUGACUAUAGGAUCCAAAGCUGUGCGGUGGUUGCAGACAUAGAGGUUUCCUGGGGUUCCAGGAGAUGGGGCAGGAGGUCGUGUGCCGCGGAUAACCAGGUGGAUGCCUAGCAUCUCGUAUGUGUAGCGUACGAUGAGUUCUGGGAGUGGGAGAUUGAAGUAAACGCGAAGGAGGGAGAGGAUGAAACCAAACGGCAGCCAAAUAUAGGUAAUAAGGGCAUUGAGAGGGUCAGGUCGCUGAACGAGGCGGCCUUCAUGGAAGAUUAUACGACUUUUGAGGCGAUCCGGUGGCACUGGAGUUGCUGAUUUGCUACGACGGAGCUGGUAGCCCUCCUUGCAAAUGGACAUGAAAGCAUGAUCGGUCUUGCGGUCACCAAGCCCAAGAUCCGGUACUUUCCCUCCAAACUCUUUCAAAAUGGCCAACUUCUUCCUUUUGCCCACCAACACGCCUGGCCUCUUCACAAAUCCGGUGGCCCUCUUAGUCUUGGUUACUUCGAUUUCUGUACCCAGAACCUUGUCUCCUCCAAGAAAUUCCUUCACAAAUGGCUCCACCAUUAUCCUCGGACUCGCCGUCACCACCACCUUCCGCUUGCACCUAUCAAAAACCUCAUAGCUCUCCUUCCUCACAUCCGCAGCAUAAAACCUGGGCAAGACAUUGCGGGAAGCCAGCUCGAUG